ensembl:lncRNA
GUGGAGGGAUGUAUUUUAUUCUACUAGAGGAGAGAUGGAGGGAUGCAUUUUAUUCUACUAGAGGAGAGGUGGAGGGAUGUAUUUUAUUAAACUAGAGGAGAGAUGGAGAGAUGUAUUUUACUCUACCAGAGAGAUGUAUUUUAUUAUACUAGGAGAGGUGGAGGGAUGUAUUUUAUUAAACUAGAGGAGAGAUGGAGUGAUGUAUUUUAUUAAACUAGAGGAGAGAUGUAUUUUAUUAAAUUAGGAGAGAUGGAGGGAUGUAUUUUACUCUACUAGAGAGAUGUAUUUUAUUAUACUAGAGGAGAGAUGGAGGGAUGCAUUUUAUUAAACUAGAGGAGAGAUGGAGGGAUGCAUUUUAUUAAACUAGAGAGAUGUAUUUUAUUCUACUAGAGAGAUGGAGGGAUGUAUUUUAUUAAACUAGAGGAGAGAUGUAUUUUCUUAAACUAGAGAGAUGUAUUUUCUUAAACUAGAGGAGAUGGAGGGAUGCAGGGAUGUAUUUUAUUAAACUAGAGGAGAGAUGUAUUUUCUUAAACUAGAGGAGAUGGAGGGAUGCAUUUUACUCUACUAGAGAUGGAGGGAUGUAUUUUAUUAAACUAGGAGAGAUGGAGGGAUGCAUUUUAUUCUACUGGAGGAGAGAUGGAGGGAUGUAUUUUUAUUCUACUACCAGAGGCGAGAUGGGGGUAUGCAUUUUAUUCUACUAGAGGAGAGAUGGAAGGGUGCAUUUUAUUCUACUUGCAGAGACGGAUGGAUUUUAUUCUACGACUAGAGGAACGGUCAGAGAUGGCAGAGCUUUGGCUUUGCAGCUUUUAAGUUGGAUUAAAGGUAUACGCUAGGAUACUUUCGUGAGCCAAUGCUAACUAGUGUUAGCACAAUGACUGGAAGUCCAUGGUAUCAUGCACCCAGUCAUUGCACUAACACCAGUUAAUAUUGGCUCACAAAAGUAUCCUUGCGUUAAUCAGACUGGGUGAGUAGAUAGGUUUUCAUUGUCAAAAUCCCUUUAAAUGUAGAGCUGAUGUGGAUGGUGUCAGUAAAGGAAGAGAUUAUUUUUAAAGUCACAUUUACACAACCCUCAUCUACCGGUAGAAAUUAGGGGGUGGUGAGGUCAUCACUCUCCUGCAAGACUCAGCCUAUCCUGUGGGGCUGCCAUGGGGUCUCCAGGUGCAUCCUUGAUGUCAUCUCCUGAGAACACGCCAACCUGUGUGUUGGCUUCAUAGAGGUAGAAAGGAUUCCUCUGUGCCUCAAUGGAUUCUGUGACAGCAUGGGUAGCGCCAUCUCAAUUUGAAAGUUGUCAAUUUUCUUGUUUGAAAUGAGUAUUGCUAAUAUUGGUGAUUUAGCGCCACCUGCAGUGCUGAACCAAAUCUUUAUUCAUUUGUUGGCUACCAAAUUUAUAAAAAUGUAUUUUACAAACCAUAGGCAACAAUUCACUGACUACUUUGAAAUGGUGGAAGCCAUUUUUUUUUCACUUUGACUUUUCUACAUUGUAGAAUAAUAGUUAAGACAAACUAUGGAAUCAUGUAGAAAUCAAGUGUUAAAUAAAUCAAAAUAUAUGAGAUUCUUGACAGCUUUGCAUUCUCUCAACCAGCUUCAUGAGGUAGUCACCUGGAAUACAUUUAAAUUAACAGGUGUGCCUUAAAAGUUAAUUUCUGGAAUUUCUUUCCUUCUUAAUGCGUUUGAACCGAUGUAGGGGUGGUAUACAGAAGACAGCCCUAUUUGGUGCAAAGAGAAAAAUACGGUCAGUCAAUACAGAAAAUUUCUUCCAAGUGCAGUUGCAAAAACCAAGCGCUAUGAUGAAACUGGCUCUCAUGAGGACCACCACAGGAAAGGAAGAACCAGAGUUACCUCUGCUGCAGAGAAUACAUUUAUUAGAGUUAACAUCCUCAGAAAUUGCAGCCCAAAUAAAUGCUUCAGAAUUCAAGUAACAGACUGCGUGAAUCAGGCCUUCAUGGGUCAAAUUUCUGCAAAGAAACCACACCAAUAAGAAGACUUGCUUGGGCAAGAAACACAAGCAAAGGACAUUACACCAGUGGAAAUCUGUACUUUGAUGAGUCCAAAUUUUUGAUUUUUGGUUCCAACCGCCGUGCCUUUGAGAUGCAGAGUAGGUGAACGGAUGAUCUCUGCAUGUGUGGUUCCCACUGUGAAGUGUGGAGGUGAUGGUGCUUUGCUGGUGACACUGUCUGAUUUAUUUAGAAUUCAAGGCACACUUAACCAGCAUGGCUACCAUGGCAUUCUGUAGCGAUACGCCAUCCCAUCGUGUUUGGUCUUAGUGGGACUAUCAUUUGUUUUUCAACAGGACCAUGACCCAACACACCUCCAGGUUGUGUAAGGGCUAUUUGACUAAGAAGGAGAGUGAUGCAUCAGAUGACCUAGCCUUCACAAUCACCCAACCUCAACCCAAUUGAGAUGAGUUGAACUGUAGAGUGAAGGAAAAGCAGCAAACAAGCACUCAGCAUAUGUAGGAACAGCAUUCCAGGUGAAGCUGGUUGAGAGAAUGCCAAGCUGUCAUCAAGGCAAAGUGUGGCUACUUUGAAGAAUCUCAAAUAUAUUUAACACUUUUUUGGUUACUACAUGAUUCCAUAGAUGUCUACACGUAUUUUACAAUGUAGAAAAAAAUAAAAACCCUGGAAGCAGUAGGUAUCAACUUCUGACUGGUACUGUAUAUUUAUUUGGUGUUACAUGUAGGAGUGGAUUUCUUUUAAUUUGGGGCAUUUUAAUCAAAUAUAUCUGAGGUGCCCUUGAGCAAGACAUUUAACCCCUAAUAUGCAGGGUUUUUCUGGAUCAAAAAGGGUGGUGGGUGUGGCUGAAUUUGAGCCCCCCCCCCCCAUUUUGGCGGAGGUAGACAUUUUAUUUAAGCCAAUUUCUCCAUGGUGUUAGAAUACAUUUUGCAGUCUUAAAAGCAAAUGUCCUGCAAUUAAUUUACCAUGGCUAAUGCUGUGUUCUAACAAAUCAAUAACGCUUAAUUGCUUUUGAAAUGUAAAUCUCCCUGACUGUCAAGCUUUUUUGUGAUUGUUAGUUCCAUUAACUUGAUUUGGUUUUAGUCAUUUGUUUACAUAAAUCCAGUGUAAGUAAUAAAAUUAAUUUAAC